UAGCAUUGGAGUCAAAACUUUACCAGCAUC
rnacentral:piRNA from 1 species